GUGCCUGACUUUGGCGGAGGUCCCUUUCAAGUUUAUUCUCAGACCCUCCCAACCUUCCCUCUCCAUCGAGUGUGAAACAAGAGGAACUAAACGACUUGAUGGUCUGAUUCAGCCCAGACUCAGGCUUGUGUCCCUACAAGGAAAAUGAAGUUAAAUCUUCAGAUAAUUUUUCUGAAAGUCGAGACCUGCCAACACUCCCCCCCCCCCCCCCCCCACUGAAGACAAAAAAAUAUGUUUGGGGAUUUUCUGAGUUGACUUUCUACGCUGAUGUUAAAAUUGUCCACACUUGCUACAAAGAACCUGCAUUUUGCUUUUGCUUCAUUAUCUCCAAUCAGAAACCAUGUCAUAUC